rnacentral:tRNA from 1 species
UAUAAAGUAAGCUAAAUAAGCUAGUGGGUUCAUACCCCAAAUAUGACUUCUCCUUUAUUA